rnacentral:ncRNA from 1 species
AAACGGGAGGCGUUGAACUUCGAUCCGCUAUGCGGUCACCAGGAAUCGAAGUGAGCCAGUGGUGAGACCGGCCCGCCC